rnacentral:rRNA from 1 species
GAUGAACGCUAGCGGGAGGCAUAAUACAUGCAAGUCGAACGGGAUUUAAAGAGUAGCAAUACAAUUUAAUGAGAGUGGCGUACGGGUGCGUAACGGGUAUGCAACCUACAUUUAUCUGGGGGAUAGCCCCUCGAAAGAGGGAUUAAUACCGCAUAACAUGGUUUAAGGGCAUCCUUAGGCCAUCAAAACUUCGGUGGAUAGAUAUGGGCAUGCUUGACAUUAGGUAGUUGGUGAGGUAAUGGCUCACCAAGCCUACGAUGUCUAGGGGGUCUGAGAGGAUGUACCCCCACACUGGUACUGAGACACGGACCAGACUCCUACGGGAGGCAGCAGUAGGGAAUAUUGGUCAAUGGACGCAAGUCUGAACCAGCCAUCCCGCGUGCAGGACGACGGCCCUAUGGGUUGUAAACUGCUUUUGUACAGGAAGAAUAAGCACUACGUGUAGUGUGAUGACGGUACUGUAAGAAUAAGGAUCGGCUAACUCCGUGCCAGCAGCCGCGGUAAU